rnacentral:rRNA from 1 species
AUUGAACGCUGGCGGCAGGCCCAACACAUGCAAGUCGAGCGGUAGCACAGAGAGCUUGCUCUCGGGUGACGAGCGGCGGACGGGUGAGUAAUGUCUGGGAAACUGCCUGAUGGAGGGGGAUAACUACUGGAAACGGUAGCUAAUACCGCAUAACGUCGCAAGACCAAAGCGGGGGACCUUCGGGCCUCUUGCCUUCAGAUGUGCCCAGAUGGGAUUAGCUAGUAGGUGGGGUAAUGGCUCACCUAGGCGACGAUCGCUAGCUGGUCUGAGAGGAUGACCAGCCACACUGGAACUGAGACACGGUCCAGACUCCUAAGGGAGGCAGCAGUGGGGAAUAUUGCACAAUGGGCGCAAGCCUGAUGCAGCCAUGCCGCGUGUAUGAAGAAGGCCUUCGGGUUGUAAAGUACUUUCAGCGGGGAGGAAGGUGUUGUGGUUAAUAACCGCGGCAAUUGACGUUACCCGCAGAAGAAGCACCGGCUAACUCCGUGCCAGCCGCCGCGGUAACAC